AGCUACUAAGAGCGAAUGGUGGAUGCCUUGGUUGGUAGAGGCGAUGAAAGACGUGCUAGACUGCGAUAAGUCUCGGGGAGUUGUCAAGGAGCUUUGAUCCGGGAAUUUCUGAAUGGGGAAACCCAGUAUAUAGUGAUAUAUACUACCUAUAUGGAGCAAACGUGGGGAAUUGAAACAUCUUAGUACCCACAGGAAAAGAAAUCAAAUGAGAUUACGAAAGUAGCGGCGAGCGAAAUCGUAAAAGGGCAAACCACUAGUUUACUAGUGGGGUUGUAGGACUGUAACAUAGACUAAAAAGAGUUAAUAGAAUAAUCUGGAAAGUUUAAGCAUAGAGGGUGAUACUCCCGUAUAUGAAAACUCUUUUUUACUUAACAGUAUCCUGAGUAGGGCGAGGCACGUGAAACCUUGUCUGAAUCUGGGAAGACCACUUUCCAACCCUAAAUACUACUACCAAACCGAUAGUGAACAAGUACCGUGAGGGAAAGGUGAAAAGAACGGGGGUGACCCGAGUGAAAUAGAACCUGAAACCAUUUGCUUACAAUCAUUCAGAGCACGAUUCUUUAUGACGUGUGAUGGACUGCCUUUUGCAUAAUGAGCCUGCGAGUUGUGAUAUCUGGCAAGGUUAAGGAAAUCCGGAGUCGUAGCGAAAGCAAGUCUUAAUAGGGCGUUUAGUCAGAUAUUGCAGACCCGAAACGAAGUGAUCUAUCCAUGAGCAGGUUGAAACCGGUGUAAGAGCCGGCGGAGGACCGAACCCGCUGACGUUGAAAAGUCUUGGGAUGACUUGUGGAUAGGGGUGAAAGGCCAAUCAAACUUCGUGAUAGCUGGUUCUCUCCGAAAUAUAUUUAGGUAUAGCGUUAUGUAGUAAUUAGAGGGGGUAGAGCACUGAAUGGGCUAGGGCAUACACCAAUGUACCAAACCCUAUCAAACUCCGAAUACCUUUAAUGUAAUCAUAGCAGUCAGGCGGCGAGUGAUAAAAUCCGUCGUCAAAAGGGGAACAACCCAGACUACCGACUAAGGUCCCAAAAUCUUAUUUAAGUGGAAAACGAUGUGAAGUUACUUAAACAACCAGGAGGUUGGCUUAGAAGCAGCCAUCCUUUAAAGAUAGCGUAAUAGCUCACUGGUCUAGUGAUUUUGCGCGGAAAAUAUAACGGGGCUAAAAUAAGUACCGAAGUCGUAGACUUAGUUUUACUAAGUGGUAGGAGAGCGUUGUAUUUAGCGUUGAAGAUGUACCGGUAAGGAGCGUUGGAGCAAAUACAAGUGAGCAUGCAGGCAUGAGUAGCGUUAAAUCAGGUGAGAAUCCUGAUCGCCGAAAACCCAAGGUUUCCUACGCGAUGCUCGUCAUCGUAGGGUUAGUCGGGUCCUAAGCAAAGUCCGAAAGGGGUAUGCGAUGGAAAAUUGGUUAAUAUUCCAAUACCAAUUAUUAUGUGCGAUGGAAGGACGCUUAAAGUUAGUGGAGCUAACUGAUGGAAUAGUUAGUCUAAGGUCGUAGGUUGAGUUAUAGGCAAAUCCGUAACUCUUUAUCCGAAAGCUUAAAGGCUUACAAAGCUCUUCGGAGUAGCGUAAGAAUCCAUGAUACUAUAGAGCCAAGAAAAGUUUCUAAGUUUAGUAAUAAUUGCCCGUACCGUAAACCGACACAGGUGGGUGGGAUGAGUAUUCUAAGGCGCGUGGAAGAACUCUCUUUAAGGAACUCUGCAAAAUAGCACCGUAUCUUCGGUAUAAGGUGUGCCUACCAGGGUGCAAGCCCUAGAGGUUACAACAAAGAGUCCCUCCCGACUGUUUACCAAAAACACAGCACUCUGCUAACACGUAAGUGGAUGUAUAGGGUGUGACGCCUGCCCGGUGCUCGAAGGUUAAUUGAUGGAGUUAGCAUUAGCAAAGCUCUUGAUCGAAGCCCGAGUAAACGGCGGCCGUAACUAUAACGGUCCUAAGGUAGCGAAAUUCCUUGUCGGUUAAAUACCGACCUGCAUGAAUGGCGUAACGAGAUGGGAGCUGUCUCAAAGAGGGAUCCAGUGAAAUUGUAGUGGAGGUGAAAAUUCCUCCUACCCGCGGCAAGACGGAAAGACCCCGUGGACCUUUACUAUAGCUUGACACUGCUACUUGGAUAAAGAUGUGCAGGAUAGGUGGGAGAUUAUGAUCUAUAGAUGCUAGUCUAUAAGGAGUCAUCCUUGAGAUACCACUCUUCUUUAUUCGGGUAGCUAACUAGCCUAAGUUAUCCUUAGGUAGGACAAUGUCUGGUGGGUAGUUUGACUGGGGCGGUCGCCUCCCAAAUAAUAACGGAGGCUUACAAAGGUUGGUUCAAAACGGUUGGAAAUCGUUUGUAGAGUAUAAAGGCAAAAACCAGCUUAACUGCGACACCGACAAGUGGAGCAGAGACGAAAGUCGGUCUUAGUGAUCCGGUGGUUCUGUGUGGAAGGGCCAUCGCUCAAAGGAUAAAAGGUACCCCGGGGAUAACAGGCUGAUCUCCCCCAAGAGCUCACAUCGACGGGGAGGUUUGGCACCUCGAUGUCGGCUCAUCGCAUCCUGGGGCUGGAGCAGGUCCCAAGGGUAUGGCUGUUCGCCAUUUAAAGCGGUACGCGAGCUGGGUUCAGAACGUCGUGAGACAGUUCGGUCCCUAUCUGCCGUGGGCGUAAGAAGAUUGAGGAGAGUUGACCCUAGUACGAGAGGACCGGGUUGAACCAACCACUGG
rnacentral:rRNA from 1 species